rnacentral:rRNA from 1 species
CAGCCGCCGCGGGAACACGUAGGUGGCAAGCGUUGUCCGGAAUUAUUAGGCGUAAAGGGCUCGCAGGCGGUUUCUUAAGUCUGAUGUGAAAGCCCCCGGCUCAACCGGGGAGGGUCAUUGGAAACUGGGAAACUUGAGUGCAGAAGAGGAGAGUGGAAUUCCACGUGUAGCGGUGAAAUGCGUAGAGAUGUGGAGGAACACCAGUGGCGGAGGCGACUCUCUGGUCUGUAACUGACGCUGAGGAGCGAAAGCGUGGGGAGCGAACAGGAUUAGAUACCCCGGUAGUCCCUGUCUCUUAUAC